AUUAUUCGAUUAAACUUGUUAAUCUAUGGUUCAAAAUUUAAGGAAAUUUAAAAAUAGAGAAUACCGGUAUUCAUAUGGAAGGAAUUUAAAGUGUGACGUGCUCUUCUCGUUUUUCUCGAUGGCAUUCCGGUAGUUUCAACCCGAUAUGAAAUCGGUUGUAUUUGAUAAGUUUAAGUAGCUCAAGGUUAUACAAGUAAUGGAUGCAGUCAAUUCACUGUUGUCAAACAAGAGGGAGAGAGCCAACGAUUCGCCCCUCAGAUAAUUUCAAGAAUUUUGAUUUUAAGGGACAAGCUUUACUAUGUGUCAGUGCAAUAAAUGGUGCCCUACACA